GGAGAAGAAGAGAAGAAGAAGAAGAAGAAGAAGAAGAAGAAGAGAGGAGGAUAGCUGCGGCAAGGCUGCAGCGAGGAGGUGUGUGGCGUUGGGGAGGAAAAGGGAAGAGGAGAAGAAGAGGGAGAAGAGAGGGAAGAGGGAGAGGAGCGAGAGGUGGAAGCAGCUAGGGCUACUGCACCUCUGUUUCCUGCAGGUGGAAACAGAGGAGAGGUGUGGGGCGUUCGAAGAGGAGAAGAAGAAGAAGAGGUUGUAAUACCUGUGUUUCCUGCAGAGGAAAUAGAGGAGAGGGUGUGUGUGAUGCCGGGGAGGAGGAGGGAAGAAGAAGAGGAGAAGAAGAGGAGGGAAAGGAGGAGCUACGGCUGCGGCGGUGGCAGCAGCAGCUGGAAGAGAAGGUGAGGAAGAAGAGAAGAAGAAGAAAGGAAGGAGAAGGAAGAAGAAGAAGAGGAAGAGGGAAAAGAGAGGGAAGAGGGAGAGGAGCGAGAGGUGGCAGCAGCUAGGGCUGCAGCACCUCUGUUUCCUGCAGGUGGAAACAGAGGAGAGGUGUGGGGCGUUCGAAGAGGAGAAGAAGAAGAAGAGGAAGAGAAGAAGAAGAGGACGCAGGAGAAGAGGUUGUGAUACCUCUGUUUCCUGCAGAGGAAACAGAGGAGAGGGUGUGUGUGACGCCGGGGAGGAGGAGGGAAGAAGAAGAGGAGAAGAAGAAGAGAAGGGAAAGGAGGAGCUGCGGCUGCGGCGGUGGCAGCUGUAGCUGGAAGAGAAGGAGAGGAAGAGAAGGUGAGGAAGAAGAGAAGAAGAAGAAAGGAAGGAGAAGAAAGAGGAGAAAGGAAAGAAGCAGCUGCGGCUGCGGCUGUGGCAGGGAAAGAAGAAAAGGAAGGAAGAAGGGAAGGAGAGGAAGAAGAGAAGGGGAAGAAGGGGCUGCGGCUGCGGCGAUGGCAGCUGUAGCUGGAAGAGAAGGAGAGGAAGAGAAGGUGAGGAAGAAGAGAAGAAGAAGAAAGGAAGGAGAAGAAAGAGGAGAAAGGAAAGAAGCAGCUGCGGCUGCGGCUGUGGCAGUUGCAGCUGUGGCAGGGAAAGAAGAAGAGGAAGGAAGAAGGGAAGGAGAGGAAGAAGAGAAGGGGAAGAAGGGGCUGCGGCUGCGGCGAUGGCAGCUGCAGCUGGAAGAGAAGAAGGAGAGGAAGAUGAGCAGGGGAGGAAGAAGAGGCUCCGACCGUGGCUGAGGCUGAGGCUGCGACUGCAGCAGUGCAGCUGGGAAAGAAGAGAAGGAAAGGAAGAAGAAGAGAAAGGAAAAGGGAAGAAGAGAGGAAGAGGAGAAGGGGAGGCAGCUGCGGCAGUGGCAGCUGCAGCUGGAAGAGAAGGAGAGGAAACAGACCAGGGGAGGAAGAAGAGGCUACGGCUGUGGUGGCGGCGGUCGUGGCUGCGACGUUGGCUGCGGUAGCUGCGGCAACGGUGGUGGCUGCAACAGCUACUUUUGGGAAAGAGAAAGAAAGGAAAGGGAAAGAAGAAGAGGUUGUGGUUGCGGUGGUGGCGGCUGCGUCUGCGGCAGUUGUGUUUGGGAAAGAAAAAAGUAGGAACGAGAGAAGGGAGGAAGGAAGUAGUACAGUGGAAGGGGCUGCGGUUGUGAUGGAAGGGGCGGUCGUGGCUACGACUGUGGUAGUGGCAGCGGCGAUGGCUGCGAUAGCUGCGUUUGAAAAAAAGAAAACGAAGGAAUGAGAGUAAGAGAGAGCAGGUGAUUAUACCUCUAUGUUCUGCAUGAGCUGCAGUUGUGGAGGAAAAAGAGAAGACAUAUGUAUAACACGAAACAAGGAGAGGACACGGAGGAAAAGUAGAAAGAUUUGGGCUGACACCUUCUUCGAAUCUUUAGAUCAAAACCUUCAAAAGGUCAGCUUGUCACUCUUUGAGAUGUUUGAAUUGGGCUAAGGUAGUGGAGAGCUAUUCAGAAUUAUGGGCAAGUCUUGUUAGUUAUUAUGUUAUUGUUGUAUAAGUAUAUUUUGUAUCUAAUGAAAUGUUGUCGAUUAAUCGAAAUGGAUAUAUCUUAUAAAAGUGUUAGACGAUCUCUCUUAUUUGAAAUUUCGGAAUGUUAAGUCUAAUUUAUGAUGAUA